AGCACUCCCUGCUGUCCAAGGCCGCUGCCUGCUGGCUCUAGCUCUCUCAUAGGGACCUGGGCUGCAGGCCUUCUCCGCAGAAGCCCUGGAGGAGGCAGGAGGGAGCAGGGCUCCUUUCCCUCACUGCUCCGUCCCUUUGGUUCCCUCUGAGAUGACACAGCCAGCUGGGCAGGGGAUGAACAUUUCUUCACAGGGUAUUGGUACGAUCAUAAGAGGAGCUACAGUGUCCAAGAGGAAGAUGAAAGCUCAUACUCUCCUGACACUUCCCAGGCUCUCCCAGAUCAAAGGGCAGUGAACACAGACUGCAGUUCUCAAAGGAGGAGGAUCAGCGUCACACUGGGACUGGCAUAGGCUGGUGUAGCCAUCUUUGGAAAAUACCAUCUUCCUCAAGUGAAACUUUAAAACCAGAUCUGUUGGUACUGAUGGAGUUCAGGUGGUUUACAAGCUUUUGAUACUUUGAAAAUGCUGAGAUAAACUUUUUUUUUUUUUUAUACGGAGUCUCGCCUUGUUGCCUGUACAUCCUCUACCGGUAACAGAUUUUGGUGAGCCAGCUAGGAGCCAGAAUCUCCCUCUGUUGCCCAGGCUGGAGCACAGUGGUGUGAUCUUGGUUCACUGCAAACUCCACCUCUCAGGUUCAAGUGAUUCUCCUGCCUCAGCCUCUCCAGUAGCUAAGGCUACAGUCAAGCAGGGUUGCUUGGGCCGCUCAGGGAAAGAGAACCCAGAAGCCUGGCAUGCCAGCAAAAUGAGACCAUCAAACCAGAUGAUCAUGCGACAAGUGUUCCAGCCAGUUCCAGGUGAAGACACCACACCCUGAAGAAGAUACCUUGUUUCCACUAGACAGAAGAGGGCAAGAAUUCCAUGAUUCCAUGAUUCCCAAUAUGUAAGGACUACACCCCAAUCAGCAUGAGGCAAUUACAGAAGAAAGACCAUUGGUCCCUCUGCCUCCCAUAAAGAUUUAUGGGGAUCACAUCUCUCAGGGAAAAAUAAGGCAGGAGAAUAGGCUCUGGAGGCAGGGAUCAUAAGGCUGAUUCACACUGACUUCCUAGAACUAAACCAAAAGGAAAACCCCAACUUUCCACACCUAAGUAACAAAAGGACUGGAGGCUACUCCCUUUGCAAACCACCCCCUGCAGCCCUUUUUCUACAUGGCAGAUGGAAAAUUUAAAGUAUCUCUGAGAGGUUGCAGGUUGCAGAAAGCAACCAAUCAGAGGCUUGCAUAGGAGUGUAACUUUGUAACUUCAGCCUCUGAUUGGUUGCUUUUCACAACCAAUCAGACACUUGCAUAAGUGUAACCUUUGUAACUUCAGCCUCUGACUGGUUGCUUUCCUAAACCAAACAGACUAAUUGUGGGCCACUACUUCAUUUAUAUAGCGUGUACACCAAGUAACCAAUGGGAAGCCUCUAGAUGGUAUUUAAACCCCAGAAAAUUCUGUAAUGGGGCUCUUGAGCCCCUAUGCUCCGGCCGCUCCCACCCUGUGGAGUGUACUUUGAUUUUCAAUAAAUCUCUGCUUUUGUUGCUUCA